UGGGGAAUAUUGCACAAUGGAGGGAACUCUGAUGCAGCGACGCCGCGUGAGUGAUGAAGGAAUUCGUUUCGUAAAACUCUGUUCUAUGGGAAGAAAAGGACUUUACCAUAGGAGAAAUCUCCGGCUAAAUACGUGCCAGCAGCCGCGGUAAUACGUAUGGAGCGAGCGUUGUCCGGAAUUAUUGGGCGUAAAGGGUGCGCAGGGGGCUUUACAAGUUGGAUGUGAAAUAUUGUGGCUCAACCACAAACGUGCAUCCAAAACUGCAAAGCUUGAGUUAAGGAGACGUAAGUUGAAUUCCUGGUGUAGCGGUGGAAUGCGUAGAUAUCAGGAGGACUACCGGUGGCGUAGGCGACUUACACGAAUUAAACUGUCGCUCAGUCACGAAAGCGUGGGGAGCAAACAGG
rnacentral:rRNA from 1 species